rnacentral:rRNA from 1 species
CCUACGGGGUGCAGCAGUGGGGAAUAUUGGACAAUGGGCGAAAGCCUGAUCCAGCCAUGCCGCGUGUGUGAAGAAGGCCUUCGGGUUGUAAAGCACUUUCAGUGGGGAAGAAAGCCUUGGGGCUAAUACCCUCGAGGAAGGACAUCACCCACAGAAGAAGCACCGGCUAACUCCGUGCCAGCAGCCGCGGUAAUACGGAGGGUGCGAGCGUUAAUCGGAAUUACUGGGCGUAAAGCGCGCGUAGGCGGUUUGAUAAGCCGGUUGUGAAAGCCCCGGGCUCAACCUGGGAACGACAUCCGGAACUGUCAGGCUAGAGUGCAGGAGAGGAAGGUAGAAUUCCCGGUGUAGCGGUGAAAUGCGUAGAGAUCGGGAGGAAUACCAGUGGCGAAGGCGGCCUUCUGGACUGACACUGACGCUGAGGUGCGAAAGCGUGGGUAGCAAACAGGAUUAGAUACCCGAGUAGUC